rnacentral:lncRNA from 1 species
CAGGAAGGAACAUUCAUGAGCUUCCAUCCACGGAACCUCACCAUGGAUACGCUUGUGAUCAAGGGCCUGGUCUCCCCUCAAGACACGGUCACAGAUCAGAGGCCACACCAUCCUAGCAGUGGAGCAGGACCAGCUGGGACAGGGUCCUUCUGUGACACCUGCUGCAUCACCAGGCUGAGUGAAUGGACUCAAUUGCCAGAACUCACAGAAUAGAAGUAUCAGCACCGAAACCUCACAGGAAAAAUGAAGACAUUUUCUUUCUCUUCUGAGUAACUGAAAUAAAAUCUGGCCUUUGUGAAACCCUGGAAAUACCACGACCCUCAACUAGAAACACCAAUACCAGCUCCUCCGUGAGUUUCCAGCUCCACAACCUAAGACAUCAGAGGCAGCAUUGGUUCCUCACGUAGAGUCCAGCUCCGGGACCCUCAUAUUUGAACCGCAGGACCAUUUCAUCCCUGGACCUCCAGCUGCACCACACUCAAAUUAGAACAACAUCAGCUCCUCCCCAGGUCUCCACCUGCACAGCCCUCGAACGGGAACGUCAGCUCCUCCCCAGGUCUCCAGCUGCAGGGCCCUAAAAAUAGAACAUCAGCUCCCGCCUGGGUCGCCAGCAGCACCACCCUCAAACUGGAACAUCAGAUCCCCACGGGUCUCCAGCUGCAGGGCCCUCAAACUGGAACAUCAGCUCCCCACCAGAUCUCCAGCUACACGGACCUCAAACUGGAACAUCAGCUCCCCGCCGGGUCUCCAGCUGCACUGCCUGCAAACUGAAACAUGACCUCCCUGCCGGGUCUCCAGCUGCAUGGCCCUCAAACUGGAACAUCAGCUCCCCACCAGAUCGCCAGCUGCACGGCCCUCAAACUGGAAUAUCAGCUCCACCCCGGGGCUCCAGGUGCACAGCCCUCAACCUGCAACAUCAGCUCCCCACCGGGUCUCCAGAUGCACGGCCCUCAAACUGGAACAUCGGCUCCCCACCGGGUCUCCAGCUGCAUUGCCUUAAACUGGCACAUCAGCUCCCAGGCCCUCAAACAGGAACAUCAGCUCCCCACAGGGUCUCCAGCUGCACAGCCCUCAAAUUGCAACAUCAGUUCCCCCCUGGGUCUCCAGCUGCACCGCCUCAAACUGCAACAUCAGUUCCCCGCUGGGUCUCCAGCAGCACGGCCCUCAACCUGGAACAUCAGCUCCCCCCAACCCGGGUCUCCAGCUCCACAGCCCUCAACCUGCAACACUGGCUACCCACUGGGUCUCCAGCUGCACGGCCCUCAAACUAGAACAUCAACUCCCUGCCAGGUCUCCAGGUGCACAGCCCUCAAACUGGAACAUCAGCUCCCUGCCGGGUAUCCAGCUGCACGGCCCUCAAACUGGAACAUCAGCUCCCCACCAGGUCUCCAGCUGCACGGCCCUCAUACUGGAACAUCAGCUCCCCACCAGAUCUCCAGCUGCACGGCUCUCAAACAGGAACAUCAGCUCCCCACAGGGUCUCCAGCUGCACGGCCCUCAACCUGCAACACUGGCUCCCCACCGGGUCUCCAGAUGCACGGCCCUCAAACUGCAACAUCAGUUCCCCCCGGGUCUCCAGCUAUACCGUGUCAACCUGGAACAUCAGCUCCCCGCCGGGUCUCCAGCUCCACGGCCCUCAACCUGCAACACUGGCUCCCCACCGGGUCUCCAGAUGCACGGCCCUCAAACUGGAACAUCAACUCCCCACCGGGUAUACAGCUG